rnacentral:rRNA from 1 species
UACGUAGGGUGCGAGCGUUAAUCGGAAUUACUGGGCGUAAAGCGUGCGCAGGCGGUUCGCUAAGACCGAUGUGAAAUCCCCGGGCUUAACCUGGGAACUGCAUUGGUGACUGGCGGGCUGGAGUAUGGCAGAGGGGGGUAGAAUUCCACGUGUAGCAGUGAAAUGCGUAGAGAUGUGGAGGAAUACCGAUGGCGAAGGCAGCCCCCUGGGCCAAUACUGACGCUCAUGCACGAAAGCGUGGGGAGCAAACAGG